rnacentral:rRNA from 1 species
UACAGAGGUCUCAAGCGUUGUUCGGAUUCAUUGGGCGUAAAGGGUGCGUAGGCGGCGCGGUAAGUCGGGUGUGAAAUCUCGGAGCUUAACUCCGAAACUGCAUUCGAUACUGCCGUGCUUGAGGACUGGAGAGGAGACUGGAAUUUACGGUGUAGCGGUGAAAUGCGUAGAUAUCGUAAGGAAGACCAGUGGCGAAGGCGGGUCUCUGGACAGUUUUCCUGACACUGAGGCGCGAAAAGCUAGGGGAGCAAACAGG